rnacentral:lncRNA from 1 species
CAUUGCAGUCAUGAAAUAAAGCUUGAGAGAAGAGCGAAGGCCAGAGGCUGUGUAGGGCUGUAGGUGUGUUCUGAGGGGAACAUUAGCAGCUUCUGCUAUAACCUUCUUGGUGAACUCCUUAAUGGAUGAGAAUGAGCUUGAAUGGUCUCCAUUCUCUUAUAAAUCUUCUAAUUAUCCUAACUUUUAGGGCAAAAUAAAAUUUGGAGCCUACACACGCUGGAAUUGAGUGAUGCAGGUGCCUCUGCCAGGCAAAAACUUAGGACUCAAGGCUUUGGGGAGCUGGGAAUGCUGUUACCAGUGCCUAGCACAGACUCCAGCUGAAGCUGUGUUUGUGUGCCCUCAGUGCUGUGUGGGAGUAACCCAGUUCAUCUUAAGAGUCCUUUUAUCCAGCUGCAAAGACGGUGUGUCUCAAACAGAAUUGUCAAAGAUCUGAUUCUUCUUUGCAAAGCUUCAGGAGCUGGACAGAUUGCUGGAAAUGAAGAUUAGGCACUCAUACAGAAGAUUCUACUUUGCUGCCGGAAGCAAGACUCCUCAAUAGUGACUGUGUUUUGCUGGAGCUGUGGGGUCUUCUGAGCUGGCUUCUGGCUGGGGGCUGCCUUCCGUCUAGCUGCUCCUUAGGAACCAGUUAGUAAGUAAUAGAACAGAACUGUGUUGUGCAGGAGGUGUUUAAUCUGAGAAAUGACUGCG